rnacentral:rRNA from 1 species
GACGAACGCUGGCGGCGUGCUUAACACAUGCAAGUCGAACGAAGAGCGAUGGAAGCUUGCUUCUAUCAAUCUUAGUGGCGAACGGGUGAGUAACGCGUAAUCAACCUGCCCUUCAGAGGGGGACAACAGUUGGAAACGACUGCUAAUACCGCAUACGAUCUAAUCUCGGCAUCGAGGAUAGAUGAAAGGUGGCCUCUACAUGUAAGCUAUCACUGAAGGAGGGGAUUGCGUCUGAUUAGCUAGUUGGAGGGGUAACGGCCCACCAAGGCGAUGAUCAGUAGCCGGUCUGAGAGGAUGAACGGCCACAUUGGGACUGAGACACGGCCCAGACUCCUACGGGAGGCAGCAGUGGGGAAUCUUCCGCAAUGGACGAAAGUCUGACGGAGCAACGCCGCGUGAGCGAUGACGGCCUUCGGGUUGUAAAGCUCUGUUAAUCGGGACGAAAGGCCUUCUUGCGAAUAGUGAGAAGGAUUGACGGUACCGGAAUAGAAAGCCAUGGCUAACUACGU